AACGAACGCUGGCGGCAUGCCUGACACAUGCAAGUCGAACGAGACCUUCGGGUCUAGUGGCGCACGGGUGCGUAACGCGUGGGAACCUGCCUUUAGGUUCGGAAUAACUCAGAGAAAUUUGAGCUAAUACCGGAUGAUGUCUUCGGACCAAAGAUUUAUCGCCUUUAGAUGGGCCCGCGUUGGAUUAGCUAGUUGGUGGGGUAAAGGCCUACCAAGGCGACGAUCCAUAGCUGGUCUGAGAGGAUGAUCAGCCACACUGGGACUGAGACACGGCCCAGACUCCUACGGGAGGCAGCAGUGGGGAAUAUUGGACAAUGGGCGAAAGCCUGAUCCAGCAAUGCCGCGUGAGUGAUGAAGGCCUUAGGGUUGUAAAGCUCUUUUACCCGAGAUGAUAAUGACAGUAGCGGGAGAAUAAGCUCCGGCUAACUCCGUG
rnacentral:rRNA from 1 species